rnacentral:misc_RNA from 1 species
UUCUGAUAUAAAUCAUUCGAUUUUGUAUAACUUUUAUCUUCUCUUACAAGAUCAUAAAUGUAACCCAGCACUUCUGCUGUUUAUAUUUAGACCUAUAGCAAGCUAAUUAAGCUUGUGAUUAUUAGACAUGGCUACCGUUCCGCCCAUCCUGGAAAAGCUAAUUAAGCCUGUGUCCUGCUGAGACUAGAGAGUUUCUACAAUAUCAAAUUCUUGACAUUUGUUUCUACACUAAAUUGCAUUUUAAAUGCGAAUCACUAAAGCACUUCUAUUCAAUUCAUGUUUUUUUUCUUAGUAUGUGGCACACUGGGAGUACUAGUAUUCAAUUCACUUCCGUACGUAUUCAGACGAAAUGAUAGAAUUUCAAUUCAGAUGACCACUCAGAAAAUCAAGAAAACCUUGGCGGCCAAAAGCACGAGUUUCGAACCUGAAAGCAAACUACCGCAAACAAUCGUAUCCAAAAUGCCAUCCUUUCAGCAAGAGAAAAGGGUAACAAUACAAAAUUUUAAAAGCAAGUCGUUCCAAAACUACAGAGUAAUGUAUCAAAUUCUCAGACUCUCCCCCUCAGACAUGACUAACCAUUUGCAACUUGCAACCAAUGACCAUUUUUCUAGCCGCCAUUCAAACCAUCUUUAAUUGUCAUCAUCAUCAUCCCAUCAAAAAUAGCAUUUUCACUAAACUAGGAAAACUAGCUUAAAAAUCCCAUUAAAUGGGACAAAAGAUAAAUGCAGAAGUAGAAUGUGGGUGGAUGAGGAUUCUGCAAGAGAAGGCAACGUUAUAACAACUCCCCUUUCCCAUGUCUUCGUCAUUAUCCCUUUUAGAAUAUCUUGAAAAGCAGGCCACCAUGUGUGGCAAAGAAGGGAGCAAAGACGAGAGAUUCCACAGCCAUAAGCUUGAUGAGAAUGUUGAGUGAUGGGCCUGAAGUGUCCUUAAGUGGGUCACCGAUGGUGUCACCAAUCACAGCUGCUUUGUGUGGAUCUGAACCUUUUGGGCCUAGUGUCCUUGCAUGCUCUGAAGCACCAGCCUCAAUAUACUUCUUGGCAUUAUCCCAUGCACCACCAGUGUUAGAUGCAGAAAUUGCUAUCUGAACACCAGAAACAAGGGCACCAGCCAGAACACCAGAAAGAGUCUCAACGCCAAAGAAGGUUCCGACAAUUAGGGGCGUGAGCAUGACAAGAGCACCUGGGGGAAUCAUCUCUUUGAUGGAUGCAUCAGUAGAGAUCUUGACGCAGGUAGCAUAAUCAGGCUUGGCAUGACCCUCCAUGAGACCAGGAAUGGUGUUGAACUGCCUGCGAACUUCCUCAACCAUCUUCAAAGCUGCACUUCCCACACUCUUCAUGGUCAUGGCGGAGAACCAGUACGGAAGCAUGGCACCCACUAUCAAACCAAUGAAGACCUUUGGGGUCAAGACAUCAACAGUUGAAAUAGAUGCACGGCUCACAAAAGCACCAAACAAAGCCAGAGAUACAAGUGCAGCAGAUCCAAUGGCAAAUCCCUUCCCAAUAGCAGCAGUAGUGUUGCCAGCUGCAUCAAGUGCAUCAGUUCGCUCACGGAUGCGGUGGCUCAUGCCAGCCAUCUCAGCAAUGCCUCCAGCAUUGUCACUGAUGGGACCAUAAGCAUCAAUGGCCAAUCCAGUGGCAAUAGUGCUUAACAUUCCAAGAGCAGCCACAGCAAUGCCAUACAUGGCUGCAAAACUAAAACUAACAAAAAUACCAAUUGCUAUGGCAAAAAUUGGAAUGAUGACAGAUUUGUAUCCCAAGGCAAGACCAAAGAUGACAUUAGUUGCAGCCCCAGUCCUACAGGAAUCAGCAACAUCUUGCACAGGGCUAUAUGCAUUGCUAGUGUAGUACUCUGUAACAAAUCCAAUGAUAAGUCCAGCCCAAAGACCAACAGCCACACACAAGAACAACUGCCAGUUCUUGACAACCUUCUGAGUUCCAAAAUUGAAAAUUGUGAAAGAUGAAGGCAAGCCAAUCCAGGUUACAAUUGCAAUUCCCACAGUCAUAAGAACAGUGGAGAUAAUGAGCUGCUUCUUCAAUGCUGGUUCAAUUUCCUUUACAGCCUUGAUUUCAAAGAAAUCAGUUGCAAAGAGGGUUGUUAUCAAACAAACGAGGAUACCCACAGAACUAAUAAGCAGAGGAUACAGCAUUGCAGUGAAAUCAUGGUUGAUUCCAAAAGAGGAGAUGGAGGCAACAACAAGGGCAGCACAAGAUGACUCGGCAUAUGAGCCAAAAAGAUCAGACCCCAUACCAGCAAUAUCUCCAACAUUGUCACCAACAUUGUCAGCAAUGACAGCUGGGUUUCUAGGAUCAUCUUCUGGAAUGUUUCUCUCAACCUUUCCCACAAGAUCUGCACCAACAUCAGCAGCUUUGGUAUAAAUACCACCACCAACCCUUCCAAAAAGAGCCAUGGAAGAACCCCCAAGACCAUAGCCAGUAAUAGAUUCAAAGAGGCCUUCCCAAUCUUCCCCAUAGUAAAGCUUGAAGAGAUUUAUAGCAAUGUAGAGAACUAAUAGACCAUUUGCAGCAAGGAGAAAACCCAUAACCGCACCAGACCUAAAUGCAGUAAUAAAAGCCUUGCCAACACCCUUUCUUGCUUCCAGUGUUGUUCUUGCAUUGGCAUAGGUAGCAAUUUUCAUCCCUAGGAAACCAGAGACAACUGAGGUGAAAGCACCAAGCAAAAACGAGACAGUGCUGAAUAUUGCAGUGGCAAGUGCUGGCUUGCAUGUUUUUUGUUUAUCAUAAGUACAAGGUUGGCUCUUUGUGCUAAAGCCCUCAACAGAACCCAGGAAAAGGAAUAUCAGAAUUGCAAAAGCCACCAUGAACAUCCCGACGUAUUGAUAUUCAGUGAACAGAAAAGAGGUGGCACCUUCAGAGAUUGCACUCUGUAUAUCAGCGCACUUGGCCACAACGCUGUGGUCAUUGAGACCUUCCUCUUCUUCAAUCAGGCAAUCAUUGUAGCCAUUCUUGUUAGCACCGGCCGGAGAUGACCCAGGUGUGUGGCGCUCCGCCGUGAGCUUCACGCGCGAGACCAAGUACCACUGAAUUAAUGAGAAAACGAUGCCAACCACCGCGCAAACCGGCACGAGUAUCUCCGUCCCUAGCUCAGACAGCACCGCCGUCCCCAUCCUCCUCACCUGAACCUAAAACAAUUCUCCGGUUUCAGAACGCCGGCAACUUUCAAAGAGUGAAAGAGACAGAGACAGUAAGUAAAGCGUGAAAGAGAACGAAGCCCCAGGGCACGAGUCGAGUCAUUUAUUUAUAUUGGAAGAGCAUAGCAAUGGGGGAAAGGUGAGGAAUGAUUAAUUGCGCUUGAGCCUAUUCUAUCCAAUUGCAUAAGGACCGUCAAGUUUCAGGAAUUUGGUGAUGUAGGGACAAGAGAAGAUUCACGGUGAUUUGUGAAGACGAAUGUCACAUGAUUAUUGGAUACAGGGACUUGCGGGAGUAAAAUUAAGGAAAUAUGUAAUAUCCACGAUAGUGACCGUUAAAAA